rnacentral:rRNA from 1 species
CCGAAUGGGGGAACCCGGCAUGUUGAAGACAUGUCAUCCGAAAGGAGGCGAACGCGCUGAACUGAAACAUCUAAGUAGGCGCAGGAGAAGAAAACAAUAGUGAUUUCCGUAGUAGCGGCGAGCGAAGUGGAAAUAGCCCAAACCAAGAUUGUUUCGGCAAUUUUGGGGUUGUAGGACUGGAAUAUCUGAAGAGUAGUAUAGUGGAACAAGUUGGAAAUCUUGGCGUUAAGAGUGAUAGCCUCGUACACGAAAUGCUGCUUAAAGUACCAGUAUCCUGAGUAUGGCGGGACAUGUGAAAUCCUGUCUGAAUCUACCAGAACCAUCUGGUAAGGCUAAAUACUCC